UACCUGUUCCAGGCAUUAGGCUGCCAAGCUUUACAACUUCCAACACCUAGAUACCUGUAUUUUUCCAAAGUCUCGGUUUGGGAGUAAUCUCCUAACGCAUUACAGCUCCUUUGGACUGGGUAUGCCUCUGACUUCAUGGUUGUAAACACUAACCCGCAACAACAACAACUUAACUUUUUAAGACUCCUUUGCAACCAGAAGUUGCCAUGUGACCCAGUUCUGGCCAUGAGACAUAAACGGUAGUCAACUGAUGCUCACUUUUCCUCUUCUCCUCUCUCUCUGGUUGGAAUACAGAUGCUAUGCCUGAGAAGCAGCAGUCAUCUUGUAAACAUGAGGACUGGAAUAUACUUGCUAUAGACAGCAGCGAAAGAAGAGAAAAGUAGUCUGAGUCCUGUGUGGCAUGAUUGAGCCAUUCGACCAUUGCUGGAUGUCCUGUCUUGUUGUGGGAGAUAAAUAAACCCUCAUGUAUUUAAACUACAAUCAGUCAAGUUUUCUAUUACUUGCAGCUGAGCACUACCCAAACUAACACAAGGAGACAAACAUUAAGCAAUACGAAAAAAACAAAUGUAGAACUAUAAAUACCAAUAAAUGCCACACUAGAGAAGUACAGGGCACCAUGAGAAUGUAAACUCAGGCACCUGACCAUGUCUGUGGGGCAAGUAAGGCUUUGCUGAGGAAAUGACAUUAGAUCUCAAUAACUAGGGGCUAGAGGGGGAGGAGUCAAGAUGGCGGUGUGGGAAGACGCCAAGUUAGCAUCUCCCCACAACUAGGGUGACUGCCGGCCACUGGUGGGGCACCCUGAUGCCCAAGGAGAUGGGAGGAACCCCCAAGUGAACUGCCAGGGGUCGGGCGAAGCUCCUGAGGUGGGAGCUCCGAGUCCGAACCACUGGACUAACAGAGAACCUCAGACCCCAGGGAAUAUUCACUGGAGUGAUGUAUCAUGGAGGUCCUCACCUCAGCACCAAGACUCAGCUCUACCCAACAGCCUACAAACUCCAGUGUUGGAAGCCUCAGGCCAAACAACCAGUAAGACGGGAACACAAUCCUACUCAGAAAAACUAGAAAAUGAGAGGGCAAAAAAAAAUUGUCACAGAUGAAGGAGCAAGGUAAAAACCUACAAGACCAAAUAAAUUAAGAGGAAACAGGCAAUCUACCUGAAAAAGAAUUCAGAGUAAUGAUAGUAAAGAUGAUCCCGAAUCUCGGCAAUAGAAUGGAGGCAUGCCUUGAGAAAAUACAAGAAAUUUGUUUAACAAAGAUCUAGAAGAAAUAAAGAACAAAGAAACAGAGAUGAACAACACAAUAACUGAAAUGAAAAAUACACUAGAAGGAAUCAAUAACAGAAUAACUGAGGCAGAAGAACGAAUAAGUGAGCUGGAAGCCAAAAUGGUGGAAAUAACUGCCAAGGAGCAGAAUAAAGAAAAAAGAAUGAAAAGAAUUUGAAGACAAUCUCAGAGACCUCUGGGACAACACUAAAUGCACCAACAUUCGAACUGUAGGGGUCCCAGAAG